AACGAACGCUGGCGGCAGGCCUAACACAUGCAAGUCGAGCGCGCCCUUCGGGGUGAGCGGCGGACGGGUGAGUAACGCGUGGGAACGUGCCCUUUUCUACGGAAUAGCCUCGGGAAACUGAGAGUAAUACCGUAUACGCCCUUUGGGGGAAAGAUUUAUCGGAAAAGGAUCGGCCCGCGUUGGAUUAGGUAGUUGGUGGGGUAAUGGCCUACCAAGCCGACGAUCCAUAGCUGGUUUGAGAGGAUGAUCAGCCACACUGGGACUGAGACACGGCCCAGACUCCUACGGGAGGCAGCAGUGGGGAAUCUUAGACAAUGGGGGCAAACCUGAUCAAGCCAUGCCGCGUGAGUGAUGAAGGCCUUAGGGUUGUAAAGCCCUUUCAGCUGGGAAGAUAAUGACGGUACCAGCAGAAGAAGCCCCGGCUAACUCCGUG
rnacentral:rRNA from 1 species